UACGAGGGGGGCGAGCGUUGUUCGGAAUUAUUGGGCGUAAAGCGUGCGUAGGCGGUUUGUUAAGUCCGUUGUGAAAGCCCUGGGCUCAACCUGGGAAUUGCAGUGGAUACUGGCGAGCUAGAGUGCGGUAGAGGAUGGUGGAAUUCCCGGUGUAGCGGUGAAAUGCGUAGAGAUCGGGAGGAACACCCGUGGCGAAGGCGGCCAUCUGGACCAGCACUGACGCUGAGGCACGAAAGCGUGGGGAGCAAACAGG
rnacentral:rRNA from 1 species